UAAAUUAGCCUCGUUGAGAAGAAUAUGGAGAUCGAUACUUAAGACCACGUGAAGCAUUGACUUCAAUUGGUUACGGAAUCACCGUUUCCAGAUUUUCUGUAAAGUUGUCUCGUUCUAGUCCAAGGAAGGUAGACGAGGAGUAAAUGAGCUCAUUUACUACUCAUUUGGCAAAAUUAGUGUUGUGGUAUUUGAUCUGUAUUUAGUUAUUUGGUAAAUUCUCUCAAAUAAUUAUUUUUAAGUUUUUGUCACAAAAAUAAUUUUCAAUGAAAAAAUAUCAUAACAGUCCAUUUUUAUUUUCAAAUUUUUGAUAUUUAUUUUUUUAUUUUUUUUAAAUUUGAAAUUCUAUCUCCAAAACCAUGCAUUAACUCUAAACCUUAAGUCUAAAUUAAUUCAACUUAAAGUAAAAAUACAUAUUUACCCUUUAAUAAAACUUAUUUUAAACAUUUUCUUCAUUAAAUGUUAUUUUGUACAAAAACUUAAAAAACACUAUCAUAUGGAAUUUCUUUAGUUUAAUUUUGGGGGUUUGACCAUUUUGAGUAAUAUAGAUAUAUGAAUCACUAAGAUAUUUACAACAUUUGGCUAGUUUUUUUUUGUUGAGUAAUUUUAUUUUCUUUUUAUUUUUUGAAAAGAAAUUUUGUUUUUUUGGAUAAAAAAUUUCGAAUAAUUUCAAUGUUUGAUAUAUAAAUAUUUAAUUAUUUUACAAUUUAUAUCAUAAAUCUUCUUAGUACUACAUAUUAUAUUCUAGAUGUUCAAAUUUUUGUUGGUUUUCGAUAUUUUAGUUUUGGUUUCCCAUAGCUGGUUUACUUCGAACCAUACGGGUCGGGUCGAUCUCCGGUUUUCCAAUUAUUCGUUUUAUCUCAAACCACAAACCAAUGUUGAGGAACGAUUAACUGGGUUUUUCGAAUAGCUUCUUCCAAAUUACAGAACAGAACAGAUAGAGCGAGAAACCUUCAGCUAGAGAGAGAUAUAUACAUCGGCUUGAACCCGCUGCGUAGCAAAAGCCCCUUCAGUAUCGUUAUGUUUUGACUAAGCGCACUGAUAAUCAAGAGAAUUUGCUUCAUUUCGGAUAAUUGAAGCGCUUGUUCGACCCUAUCGCUUAUGUAAACGGGCUUGCUUGCGUAUUGGUAACCACUUCAUCUGAUGCAAUUUUGUUGAAUUUGACUCGUCCCCGUUUCAUCAAAGCAACGAUUUUUCUUUCUGGGUUUUCAGUUCUGAAUCAAACCCACAUCAUAUAUCUUAGUGAAUUUAGCUGUAUCAAGAUGGCGAGAAACGCUAACAGUAACGUGUUUCUCGAAGAAUGGUUGAGAGUUGUGAGUGGAAGCAGCGUCUCUAGUGGUUUAGUGAAGCAGGACUCUGCACCAUCUGCUAGGUCUAUUAUUCAAGCAUGGUCCGAGAUUCGUGAGUCUCUUCAAAGCCAGAGGUUCGAUACACGUUACCUUCAAGCUUUGAGAGCUUUGGUUAGCUCUGAGUCCACUAUCCACGUCGCUGAUCCCCAAGCAAAGCUUCUUAUCGCUAUACUAUCUUUAAAAGAUGUCUCUCUUCCGUAUGAGUCUUGUACGCUUGUUAUGAGAUUACUCUAUGUGUGGAUUAGGAAAGCUUUUAGACCCUCUCAGGCUCUUGUUGGUUCGGCUGUUCAGGCUAUUCGUGGCGUUGUUGUUGAUGAUGGUAGGAGUAAUCUGCAGCCGGUGUUGUUAGCGCAGAGCGUUCUGGUGGCUGGUGCUUUUGCGAGUGUGCAUUCUGUGUCGGGAGAGUUGAAAGUGUUGAGCUUGGAGUUGCUAUGCAGGCUUUUGGAAGGAGAGGGAUCACUGGUGGGAUCUCGAGAAGAGCUUGUUCCUGUAGUGCUUGCGGGGAUCGGGUAUGGUUUAUCCUCUUCGUCUGAUGUUCAUUACGUUAGGCUAUUGGAUUCCUUGUUUGGCUGCAGCAUUUGGUUGAAAGAUGGUAGUGUCACUCAUGGGCUGAUGAUUCUUCAUUUGGUCGAGUGGGUUGUGUCAGGUUACAUGAGGUCUAACUAUGUAAACAAGAUGUCUCUCUUUGCAAACGAGGUACUAGAGACUUCUAAGGCAGACUACACUCCUUUUGCUGUCUUAAUGGCAGCAGCGGGAGUACUCAGAGCUUCCGCGGCAGGAUCACAGAAUCUUGAGGUUGUUUCUAAACUUAGAAACUCAGCGGAAAAACGUUUAGACGCUGUAGCUCAACUUUUAGUUGCUAAUGGUUCAAUCACUCAGAGAGAUGAUCUUCUGUUGAAGUGCUUUGCUAUAGCAUUGGCUCGAUGUGGGACUGUUUCUCCCUCUCCUCCUCUGCUUCUGUGCCUCGCUUCUGCAUUGUUAACUCAGGUGUUUCCUCUGGGCAAUAUAUAUGAAUCGUUUUGCAAAGAUCCUAUUGGACCAAGACUCAUUUGGGUGAGGGAGCAUCUUUCUGGUGUUCUCUUCAAGGAAUCAGGGGCCAUAACCGGAGCUUUCUGCAAUCAAUACGCAAAAGCAAAUGAAGAGAACAAAUACAUUGUGGAGAAUAUGGUUUGGGACUUCUGUCAAAACCUCUACUUACAGCACCGUCAGAUCGCUCUACUGCUUCGUGGUGUAGAAGAUACAUUGCUUGGAGACAUAGAGAAGAUCGCAGAAUCAUCUUUCCUCAUGGUUGUGGUCUUUGCGCUAGCUGUCACAAAACAGUGGCUGAAUCCAAUAGUGUCUGAAGAAAGAAAGAUGGAGACAUCAGUCAAGAUACUAGUUUCGUUCUCAUGUGUAGAGUAUUUUAGACAUAUUCGCUUACCUGAAUACAUGGAGACGAUCAGAGAGGUGAUCUCAUGCGUCCAGGAGAAUGAUGCUACUUGUGUUUCAUUUGUAGAGUCCAUCCCUGCCUAUGGUAGCUUGACGAAUCCGAAAGACUUGUUUACGCAGAGGAUAGAGUAUGAAUGGUCAAGAGAUGAUGUGCAGACAUCUCGAAUACUGUUUUAUCUUCGAGUGAUCCCAACGUGCAUUGGAAGGUUAUCUGCUUCUGCCUUCAGGAGAGUUGUUGCAUCAACCAUGUUUUUAUAUAUUGGACAUCCUAACAGGAAAGUGGCACGAGCAUCUCAUACUUUGUUUGUAGCAUUCCUCUCUUCGGCAAAGGAGUCGGAAGAGGACGAAAGAAACCAACUCAAACAAGACCUUGUUUACUAUUACAUGGAAAGAUCUUUGGAGGGUUAUCCUGAGAUCACACCAUUUGAAGGUUUGGCUUCAGGCGUUGCAGCCUUGACCCGGCAUCUACCUGCAGGAAGUCCUGCUAUAUUUUACUCUGUCCACAGCCUUGUCGAGAAGGCUUCAACGUUUAAAACCGAUGCGUUGCAAGGAAGUAAGUCUGAUCCUGGUAAUCAGAUUCUUGACUUGCUUCUGAGACUCGUCUCUUUGGUUGAUAUACAAGUGUUGCCGUAUCUGAUGAAGUCAUUAGCACAGCUUAUUAUAGUGUUACCAAAAGAAAAGCAGAACAUGGUGCUUGGUGAACUGUAUGGUCAAGUGGCUGAAUCAGACGAUGUGAUUCGCAAGCCUUCUUUAGUCUCUUGGCUACAGUCACUGAACUACUUGUGUUCUAAUAACCGGACUCAAGGCUCAGGUUCUGGACCAACUAUAGACACUUCGAACCAGUUGGCUGCUCGGCUCUAGGAGGAAUCUCCUCAUAGUUUAGCAAACAUGUAAUAUAGAGAAUAAAAAUGUAGUUUUCCUAUAUGUUAGCUAAGUUUUCAUGUAGUAAGCAGAGUCUGGAAUAUAUCUCCUAUUGAUGUCAUAACUCAUGUUCCCAUCUUGUGUGGGGAGUCGGGCAUUCCUUAUGUCGAUGUUCCCUCAAAGGAGGAUCUUGCAACUGCUGGAGAGACGAAGCGGCCAACAUGUUGCGUUCUUAUUCUAACAAAGCCUGCCAAAGGAGAAUUAAGCCAGAAAGUUCAAGAGAAACUUAAGACGGACUAUGAUCAUGUUGUUGAAGAUGUCAAAGAGCUUGCUUCUUCUACUGUGUAUUAGGAUUGCAUAAUGAUUUGUAUUGCUCUUUGCUGUCUCAUGUCUCAUGUCUCACUGUCUCCAGUUUCCUUAUGAAUAGUAGUGUAAACGAAUCAGUCUCUUAUGUGGUAAUUUUUUCAAAUAUUGGGAAUCUUAUAUGUUUCUACAAUCUCUUAAAGA